AUGAACGACGACCAGUUAACCGAGUAUCUACCAUCAUAUGGAGACCGACUGGCUGUCCUUGGAUAUUGCAGAUUGAAGGGGAAGAAUCCUGUUGCCCGCAAAUCAAAACUUUUUGAGCGACUGAAAGCCAAGUUAGCAAAAAGUGACGAUCGUGAACACUUGUCUGAGAAGUUACCAUGUCAAAAUGCUCAGAAGAAAGAGCGUAAAAUUGAAAUUGGCUGGUUGAAUUUCCGUGACGGGAAAUUCUUACAAAUGAGGGCCAAAAAGGGGGGCGGGACCAGGAAAAUCUCUGUGUCCAAGAAUUGUUGUAAAGAUCAGUUAAUUGAACAGGCCAAAAACCUGUUUUUCCCUGGUCAGAAAAAUGCAGAAGGAAAUGUUCAAGAUUUUGCGAUUGAACUAACUGAUUUUCAGGAGCGCCCGUUAGAUCCCCUGACUACAGUUGGGGAUCUUUAUGAAGUAACAAAGCUGCCCAUUUUACGCUUUUACUUAGCAACAACCAAGAGGGAUGGUUGCAGUGAGAAUCAGCUUGCAGCCUCACCCAACCCCCCUAGGCCUAGUUUACCUCUAGCUGAAGGUCAGGAAACCGCAGAUGUGGUAUAUGCUAGUAGCAGCAAUGUCCUGUCUGAUACAAACAGUGAUCCUGAGCCCUUCGAUUGCUCCACUGUUGAAAUGAGUGUGAGCGAAGUUGAUGCCGCCAAUGCUGUAGAUGACUUUGAGAAUAGUGGCACAGUUACCUUUUUCCAAGGACACCUACAUGAUCUGGACUGGGUUAGCCUUGAUGAUACCUUACAAACGUCUCCUCGGGCAUCAAGUUCAUCUACUCCGACCCUAGAUAUUGCUCAUGUGCCCAUUGAUCAGAGUGAAAGAACAAAGAGAAUAAUUGUUGUUCACCGUGGGCAGAUCCUGAGAGAACUAAUCACACAUUUUUUGGACGCGAGUGUCAUGCGAGAUGAUGUUUUCAUCCAAGUAAUUCUUCCCAAUGGAAGUUUGGAAAUGGCAGUUGAUGAAGGUGGCGUGUUAAGGGAUGUGCUAACUGAAUUUUGGCUGGACUUUUAUGAGCAAUGCACUUUAGGAAAUGCUUUCAAGGUGCCUUUUCUACGCCAUGAUUUUGGUAAGCAGCAGUGGGAAAGCAUUGGCAGAAUAAUAGCAAUGGGUUGGCAAAAAGAGAAGUACCUGCCUAUAAAAAUAGCCCCAGUAAUUUUGGAGAAAGUUGCCCUGGGAAGUGUGAAGAGUAGUCUUGUUGACUGCUUCCUGAAAUAUGUCACAGAGUCAGAGAGAUUGGUGUUUGAAUCCUGCCGUUCAGAUUUUGAAAGUGUGGAUCAGGAAGAAUUGAUUGAAGUAAUGGAUCUCCACAGCUGUCGAAGAAUGCCAACCGCUGAUAAUAUUGAACAGCUCUUGGAGGAGCUUGCCCACCAAAAGCUGGUUCAAGAACCCGCCUUUGUCCUAGAGCAGUGGAGCAAGGUGCUUGCACCCUUUAGGUCAGAUUUGGAAGGCAUUUCAGAAGCGUAUGUAAAUCUUCAUCCAACACUGAGGAAGGUGAUUAGGUCUAUCUCUUACCCCACUACUAUGAACGACCAGCAGAAGAACAUAGGAAAGCAUCUUAGCACUUACCUUAGAGAAUCUGACGCACAGCACCUGUCUCUAUUCCUUCGGUUUUGCACUGGCUCUGAUUUGUUUCUUGGUAAGACCAUUACUUUGAGCUUCACGAAUUUGCAAGGUAUGCAGAGACGGCCCAUCGCCCACACAUGUGGAUGCUACUUGGAGUUGCCAAUUGAUUAUGACAAUUACCCGGAUUUCAGACACGAAAUGAACAAAGUAUUGGAGAGUGGUGUGUGGGCAAUGGACAUAGUUUAG
ensembl:lncRNA